rnacentral:rRNA from 1 species
GACGAACGCUGGCGGCGUGCCUAACACAUGCAAGUCGAACGAAGCUUGACGAACGAUUCUUCGGAUGAAUUCUGAUAUGACUGAGUGGCGGACGGGUGAGUAACGCGUGGGUAACCUGCCUCACACAGGGGGAUAACAGUUGGAAACGGCUGCUAAUACCGCAUAAGCGCACAGUACCGCAUGGUACAGUGUGAAAAACUCCGGUGGUGUGAGAUGGACCCGCGUCUGAUUAGCUAGUUGGCAGGGCAACGGCCUACCAAGGCGACGAUCAGUAGCCGACCUGAGAGGGUGACCGGCCACGAUUGGGACUGAGACACGGGCCCAAAACUCCCUACGGGAGGCAGCAGUGGGAAUAUUGCACAAUGGGGGAAACCCUGGAUGCAGCGACGCCGCGUGAGCGAAGAAGUAUUCGGUAUGUAAAGCUCUAUCAGCAGGAAGAGAAAUGACGGUACCUGACUAGAAGCA